AGUGAACGCUGGCGGUAGGCCUAACACAUCCAAGUCGAACGGCAGCACAGUAAGAGCUUGCUCUUACGGGUGGCGAGUGGCGGACGGGUGAGGAAUACAUCGGAAUCUACUUUUUCGUGGGGGAUAACGUAGGGAAACUUACGCUAAUACCGCAUACGACCUACGGGUGAAAGCAGGAGAUCUUCGGACCUUGCGCGAUUGAAUGAGCCGAUGUCGGAUUAGCUAGUUGGCGGGGUAAAGGCCCACCAAGGCGACGAUCCGUAGCUGGUCUGAGAGGAUGAUCAGCCACACUGGAACUGAGACACGGUCCAGACUCCUACGGGAGGCAGCAGUGGGGAAUAUUGGACAAUGGGCGCAAGCCUGAUCCAGCCAUACCGCGUGGGUGAAGAAGGCCUUCGGGUUGUAAAGCCCUUUUGUUGGGAAAGAAAAGCAGCAGGUUAAUACCCCGCUGUUCUGACGGUACCCAAAGAAUAAGCACCGGCUAACUUCGU
rnacentral:rRNA from 1 species